rnacentral:ncRNA from 1 species
GAGAGCCGGGUGCGGGAAAUCUGCACGCCCGGUUCGCCGAGCGGGGGGUGAAAACGGAACGUCUGGCAAGCCCCAC